rnacentral:rRNA from 1 species
GGGUGCGAUCAUCUCAGCACUUAUGCAUCGGAUCCCAUCGGAACUCUGAAGUUAAGAGCGUUUGGGAGAGAAUGGUUCCAAGACAAGCUUUGUCACAUGAC